rnacentral:rRNA from 1 species
AGAGUUUGAUCAUGGCUCAGGACGAACGCUGGCGGCGUGCUUAAUACAUGCAAGUUGAGCGGAGCCAUUGAUGAAGCUUGCGAUUCAAUGGUCGAGCGGCGGACGGGUGAGUAACGCGUGGGCAACCUGCCCUCUAGUCUGGGAUAACAGUUCGAAAGGGCUGCUAACACCGGAUAAGCUCACGGAGAGGCAUCUUUCAGUGAGAAAAGUUUACGCUAGAGGAUGGGCCCGCGUCCCAUUAGCUAGUUGGUGAGGUAACGGCUCACCAAGGCGCCGAUGGGUAGCCGACCUGAGAGGGUGACCGGCCACACUGGGACUGAGACACGGCCCAGACUCCUACGGGAGGCAGCAGUAGGGAAUUUUCCGCAAUGGGCGAAAGCCUGACGGAGCAACGCCGCGUGAGGGAAGAAGGUCUUCGGAUCGUAAACCUCUGUCUUCAGGGACGAUGAUGACGGUACCUGAGGAGGAAGCCACGGCUAACUACGUGCCAGCAGCCGCGGUAAUACGUAGGUGGCGAGCGUUGUCCGGAAUUACUGGGCGUAAAGGGCGUGUAGGCGGCCAUUUAAGUCAGAUGUGAAAUACCAUGGCUUAACCAUGGGACUGCAUUUGAGACUGGAUGGCUUGAGGAUCGGAGAGGGCAGUGGAAUUCCCAGUGUAGCGGUGAAAUGCGUAGAUAUUAGGAGGAACACCAGUGGCGAAGGCGACUGCCUGGACGACACCUGACGCUGAGGCGCGAAAGCUAGGGGAGCAAACGGGAUUAGAUACCCCGGUAGUCCUAGCCGUAAACGA